GAGGAAGGCGGGGAUGACGUCAAAUCAUCAUGCCCUUUAUGUCCUGGGCUACACACGUGCUACAAUGGGCGGAACAACGGGAAGCGAGACCGCGAGGUGGAGCGAAACCCUGAAAACCGUUCGUAGUUCGGAUUGCAGGCUGCAACUCGCCUGCAUGAAGCCGGAAUUGCUAGUAAUCGCGGAUCAGCAUGCCACGGUGAAUACGUUCCCGGGCCUUGUACACACCGCCCGUCACACCAUGGGAUUUGGUUUGACCUUAAGUUGGUGCGCUAACCGCAAGGAGGCAGCCAACCACGGUCGGGUUAGAGACUGGGGUGAAGUCGUAACAAGGUAGCCGUAA
rnacentral:rRNA from 1 species